AUUGAACGCUGGCGGCAGGCCUAACACAUGCAAGUCGAACGAGUGGCGGACGGGUGAGUAAUGUAUGGGAAACUGCCCGAUGGAGGGGGAUAACUACUGGAAACGGUGGCUAAUACCGCAUACUAUCGUAUCGGCCCAGAUGGGAUUCGCUAGUAGGUGGGGUAACGGCUCACAAAGGCAACGAUCCCUAGCUGGUGUGAGAGGAUGACCAGCCACACUGGAACUGAGACACGGUCCAGACUCCUACGGGAGGCAGCAGUGGGGAAUAUUGCACAAUGGGCGCAAGCCGGAUCCAGCCAUCCCGCGUGUAUGAAGAAGGCCUUCGGGUUGUAAAGUACUUUCGGCAGGGAGGCGUUACUUGCAGAAGAAGCACCGGCUAACUCCGUGCCAGCAGCCGCGGUAAUAC
rnacentral:rRNA from 1 species